UCAAACCUAUGCCUCCUAGCUAUAUUAAGUAUUGAUUCAAAACAAAAAUUCGAAAAACAAAUGUUCACAAAUCUCUCUAUCUCUCUCUAUCUCUCUUCAUCCCCUUCACACCAAACUUCGCCGGAGAUUUUGCACCGCCAAAACAGUUGACAUUUCCACAAUUCUUUAACAAUCCCUCUCUCUCUCUCUCUCUCUCUCUCUCUCUCUCUCUCUCUCUCUCUCUCUCUCUCUUCAUCCCAUCCAGGCCACCUUCACCGGAGAUUUCCACCGCCAAAAAAAUCAGCAAAUUAUCUUCCUCCACACCAACUUCACCGGAGAUUUCCACCACCAUCGGAGUUUCAAAUGCGUCGGUCUUCUUAGCAAAAGGUGGUUGUUUUUCUAAUAUUGCAAAAAAAAAA